rnacentral:rRNA from 1 species
UACGAAGGGGGCUAGCGUUGCUCGGAAUUACUGGGCGUAAAGCGCACGUAGGCGGCUCUUAAGUCGGGGGUGAAAUCCUGGAGCUCAACUCCAGAACUGCCUUCGAUACUGAAGAGCUUGAGUCCGGGAGAGGUGAGUGGAACUGCGAGUGUAGAGGUGAAAUUCGUAGAUAUUCGCAAGAACACCAGUGGCGAAGGCGGCUCACUGGCC